AAUACCCUGCUUUGCGCGUGAUGGUCGGAGGCUCGUUUGAGCCAACGUAAUAACCAAGCGGAUCGCGAUGCCUGCGCUGUGUGCAUGCCUCAGCGUGAGGAAGCCUGACGCGCGGCUCUUACAGCGAUCCCACCUGCCCUGAGCAGGUUCAGCGACCUCCCCACACGGCAAAGCGGGGCCUCU
rnacentral:other from 1 species